GACGAACGCUGGCGGCGUGCUUAACACAUGCAAGUCGAACGGAAAGGCCCCUUUGGGGGUACUCGAGUGGCGAACGGGUGAGUAACACGUGAGUAACCUGCCCUUGACUUCGGGAUAACUUCAGGAAACUGGGGCUAAUACCGGAUAGGAAUCCUUGCUGCAUGGUGGGGGUUGGAAAGCUUCGGCGGUUUUGGAUGGACUCGCGGCUUAUCAGCUUGUUGGUGGGGUAGUGGCUUACCAAGGCUUUGACGGGUAGCCGGCCUGAGAGGGCGACCGGCCACAUUGGGACUGAGAUACGGCCCAGACUCCUACGGGAGGCAGCAGUGGGGAAUAUUGCACAAUGGGCGGGAGCCUGAUGCAGCAACGCCGCGUGCGGGAUGACGGCCUUCGGGUUGUGAACCGCUUUCAGCAGGGGCGAAGCUUGUGGUGACGGUACCUGCAGAAGAAGCACCGGCUAACUACGUG
rnacentral:rRNA from 1 species